CUCAUGACUUUUUUUGGUUCUUUUUCUGGCUCUGAUUUCUCUUUCAGCUGAAGUCUUGUUCUUGCCUCCGUGUCUCCUGUCUGUUCCCUUACCUGUACCCUGCCUCAGGCCCAAAUUGUCGGACACAAGACUUGCUUAAAGUUUCCUCUAAACCAGCUCUAAACAGAAGGCUGUUAGGUGUGGCAGACUUUGUCUUUUUUCUCCAAUUUUUAUGAAUCAAUAACCUGUUAAAGCGCUCAGCAGGACCAGUCUCUGCAAGACCUUUCCUUAGGAGGAAGUUCUGUUAUGGGACAAAGAUGUCCGCAAUCACUGUUCCUGACUUAGGCUUCCUGAGUCUCAUCACCCGAAGCUCUGAGUUUGUCUGGCCUUCUUUGUCCCCUGCUCCCCAUUGCUUCCUCCCCGACUCCCACUUUCUUCAAUGACCGCCACCAGCACUGCUGCUCCCACCACCUUACAGCCUCCUUUCCAGCAAGGCUUUGAGAGGCCACCUGGUCAGGACAGUGAGUUAAGCUCAUUAAUGAGGUUCUGGGUCCUCACAGCUCUGUAAUUUUCAUUUCUGCACCUCCCCAGUCUGGGUGACACAGGAGACUGACCAACUAUGGGUAUUUCCAGCCUCUGCCCACUCCUCAGAAGCCCAGCACAGCUCCCAGUGUCUCCUAGCACAUUUAUUUAUUGAUAAACAGACAUGUUUAAUGAUAGCUUGCUUUUCACGGAGAUGACUACAGAGACUUCUAAUCUAUAAUCCAGGAGUAUGUAACCAUGCAGCACAGACCAAUUAGCCACAUGUAAAAUAAACUAGAUUCUUACCACAACUACCCUGUAAACAUGGCAACUAUUCUUUCCAAGAGGACCCUAUAUUUAGUAAGAGCAAUAUGAUUUAAUGUGUUUUGUUAUUAAAAAACUUUCCUCAACACUUUAUAUAGAUUGAUCUGAGUCUAAGCACAAAUAUUUGAUUUUUAUGACGGACUUAGAUGAAAAAGUUGAACGCCUCAAAGGUGCUCAUUUCCUGUGCCGAUCUGACUGUGUACUCACAGUACCUUCCACGCUCAGCCUGCAGGCAUGGCUCAGCCACCCUUCCUGCCUGUCUUCUUCUGGUCUCAUAGACCGUUCCCUGCCCUUUCACUCUAUGAGCCCAUCCCAACUGCUUUCUCUUCUUUUUUAAAAUUGAAAUUUAAUUAUAAAAGCAAUAUUCAUAUCACCUCCUUAUAAAAAAUUAAACCAGCAAAAUCCAUCAUUUUCAUCAGUAGGUAAAUGCACUAAGAGUGCUUGUACCUGUGCCCCAGGAGACAUAUGCAAAAAUAUUCAAGCACUACUGUUUGUAAUUCCAAAAGAAAAAGCAAGCAAGCAAGCAAGCUGGUGUGGUGUCUCACACCUGUAAUCCCAGCACUUUGGGAGGCCCAGGCAGGAGGAUUGCUUGAAGCCAAAAGUUCAAGACCAGCCUGGGCAACAUAGCAAGACCCCAUUUCUUAAAAAAUUUUUUUAAAAAUAGCC
rnacentral:lncRNA from 1 species